AUCCUACCCAUGUGGGGAAGGAUGAGAAGCUUCGACUAAGGUUCGGUUCGAGCGAAAGCGAGAAAGCGUUACCGCAGGCAACGACCCGAAGGGCGAAGUGCGCAGCGCUGAGUCAUCCUUUCCCCACCACCA
rnacentral:sRNA from 5 species